rnacentral:rRNA from 1 species
UACGAAGGGGGCAAGCGUUGUCCGGAUUUACUGGGCGUAAAGAGCGCGCAGGCGGUCGAUCAAGUCGGAUGUGAAAGCCCCCGGCUUAACUGGGGAGGGUCAUUCGAUACUGCUCGGCUCGAAGACAGGAGAGGGAAGUGGAAUUCCCGGUGUAGUGGUGAAAUGCGUAGAUAUCGGGAGGAACACCAGUGGCGAAGGCGACUUUCUGGCCUGUUAUUGACGCUGAGGCGCGAAAGCGUGGGGAGCAAACAGG